AGGUUUGCCCCCCAAGGUGAAAACUUAGGGAAGGAGCGCUCAGGAGAGCACGGUGCCUCCCUGAGCAUGAAGAGGAGUGAGUGCUUCAACCUUACGCGAUGGAGCCGCCAUCCUGCGUACCUGCUUGGUGAUGAAAAAUAAAAAAGAAAACCAACAAAACAGGAAGGAAAACAGUGAAAACUCUGAUGCUCCUUGGGGAAUAUGAAGAGACACAGAUUUCAUUUAAGAUAACAAAAAAAAAAAAAAAAAGAGAAGAAAUAAAAACAAAAACACCACCACCACCAACAGAAAGCAGCAGAAGUACCAAGAGUCGGAUGGGUGAAUGCUGCUCUUCAGAGCAGUCCCUGCAAUGGGGACUCCCCAGCCGUGAGGUCCCCAGCUCCCGCAGCAGCUCGGCAGCUCCCUCCCCUCCUCCACUUCUGCACUACGAUUCAUAUGGUGACUGCUGCAGUAAAAUCAGGAGCAAUGAAGACUAUAUAUAAAAGGGCUGGAGUAAAGGCAAGUGGCACCUCAAUUCUACUUCUGAGUAAGCCUUUUGUUUUUAGCAAAACAGGCACAUCAGUGCUGCUCCAGCCAGCCACAGGCUCAGCUUUCCCUGUGGAAGCUGGCAAGGAGCAGCAGGUCUGAGCCUCAGAACUGCAGCGGAGAGGAGUUCCACCUCCUCCUGCUGGUGGCCAACCUUGACUGUUGGCCUUCCUCUGGGGACGGAGGCAUCCCCAUGCUCCGCUGGUCUGCCUAUAGCGAUACAGAUGGGUGACUGGUGAGACCGGGCUGGGCCAGAG
rnacentral:lncRNA from 1 species